UGGGGGCGUGCUUACCUGCAGUCGAACGGUGAAGCCAAGCUUGCUUGGUGGAUCAGUGGCGAACGGGUGAGUAACACGUGAGCAACCUGCCCUGGACUCUGGGAUAAGCGCUGGAAACGGCGUCUAAUACUGGAUAUGAGACGUGAUCGCAUGGUCGUGUUUGGAAAGAUUUUUCGGUCUGGGAUGGGCUCGCGGCCUAUCAGCUUGUUGGUGAGGUAAUGGCUCACCAAGGCGUCGACGGGUAGCCGGCCUGAGAGGGUGACCGGCCACACUGGGACUGAGACACGGCCCAGACUCCUACGGGAGGCAGCAGUGGGGAAUAUUGCACAAUGGGCGGAAGCCUGAUGCAGCAACGCCGCGUGAGGGAUGACGGCCUUCGGGUUGUAAACCUCUUUUAGCAGGGAAGAAGCGAAAGUGACGGUACCUGCAGAAAAAGCGCCGGCUAACUACGUGCCAGCAGCCGCGGUAAUACGUAGGGCGCAAGCGUUAUCCGGAAUUAUUGGGCGUAAAGAGCUCGUAGGCGGUUUGUCGCGUCUGCUGUGAAAUCCCGAGGCUCAACCUCGGGCCUGCAGUGGGUACGGGCAGACUAGAGUGCGGUAGGGGAGAUUGGAAUUCCUGGUGUAGCGGUGGAAUGCGCAGAUAUCAGGAGGAACACCGAUGGCGAAGGCAGAUCUCUGGGCCGUAACUGACGCUGAGGAGCGAAAGGGUGGGGAGCAAACAGGCUUAGAUACCCUGGUAGUCCACCCCGUAAACGUUGGGAACUAGUUGUGGGGACCAUUCCACGGUUUCCGUGACGCAGCUAACGCAUUAAGUUCCCCGCCUGGGGAGUACGGCCGCAAGGCUAAAACUCAAAGGAAUUGACGGGGACCCGCACAAGCGGCGGAGCAUGCGGAUUAAUUCGAUGCAACGCGAAGAACCUUACCAAGGCUUGACAUAUACGAGAACGGG
rnacentral:rRNA from 1 species